CCGCCGUCAGCAAGCCAAGCCUCAAGGCAGAGGGACCGGGAGUCGGGAGCUGCGGAGUGCGUGCGCGUUUUCUGUUACUGAGCAUGCGCAGUAGACAUUGCGGCGGUCGCCGCCCUCAGAUCGAAACGGGGUAAGUGCCCAAUCAAGGAACACUUAACUGACAAUGAACUCUGGAAGAUGACAAUCCAUAUCUGAGCUUUCCUGGGAACGUUCAAACUAAUAUGUAAACAAUGGCGUAGGCCUGCAAACUGAGUCAUGCAUGGACAUGUGACUUGCCCAUGUGACUCCAAGCACCAUCUCGCUGCUGUGAUUUUCCACAGUAAGAACAAAGAGGGAUCCUUCCAUGGGCGGAGAAUAUAAAAGGCCCUGAAAACCCCUCCAUCUUGUCUUCAAUCCGCCUCUGAUCUCUGGAGGAACCUUCCUACAAACUGAAGCUCUGAACAAAGGGUUGAAUGACCCAUCCCAGCUGUGGAUGUACUCCAGAGACUUGAUUUGAACCUGCAGUUUAUUCCAUCACUGCUACAAGCCUGAACCAAGAACUUUGCCAUUACUAACAAGAUUAAACCCCUAGAUCACUUGCAGACUUCACCUGCUGAUUGAAACGUUCUGACCAGAGGUGGUCUCCUAUUGGGGACCAUAUGUAGUGGAGGGAGGAAAGAAAUAGGCUACCAAAAAUAACUCAGAUGCGUUUUGUAUGGUGUCCACCAAUCUUAGCAAAUAGGUCAUUUGUAUAGCAUUUCCUGGAAGGAACAUCCACAUGGGUAAGGACAUGAAACCCCAAGCUGAAAUAACUGAAAAUGUCAAGGCUUUAUUUUGCAAUAGAUAUCUUACAAAGAAAAGAUUUACUUUUAUUGAUAUUCAUGGAUGUGCAAUGCAUCAGAGUUUUUCUAUGGUGUCUCCUUCUCAUUUAGUCAUUUGUUCCUGUUCCUCAACUCAGAGGUAAAGAUGCUAGCCGGAAAUGCAUGUAUACUUAACAUAGAGACAGAUACUAAGAUCAUCACAUUCAAGACCCAAAAAUGGCUUCCAAAUUUGUGGGUGCAGUUUUGCACUCACUAUUAAUUACUCCCAUAAAGUGGAGGUCAGAUUGAGGUGACUUUAAAAAUUUGGUUCAUAAUAUUAACUAACUCCAUUCAUCCUCACUUCUAGAUGCUGCAGACUUGACAUCACCUAGGAGCAUCAUGUAAGGUAUUGUCUUGGGCACUUCCUGAAGGAGAGUUUUCUGCUUCAGAGACAGGGCUAUCAAGGAGAGGGACAGAGUCAUCCAUUUCCAUGCUAUGCUGCUUCUCCAGUGCGUAAGUUAGGCCAGAGUUCUCUUUGUCACUGACCUCUCCCUCCAACUUGUCUGCCAGUUUGUCCUGGGCUUGAGCUGCCUCCUCAGAAUCUUCCUUUUGGUGCAGAAAACUACAAAUCAUAUUAGGUCUGCUGUAUGAGAAAUCUUUGUCUUCAAUCUGUAACCACUCCACACCACCUGGUCAGAAAAAAGAUAAACUAGUGAAACGGGGAGGAGAGAUUUUAACAGCAAGACGAUAUAUUUUCUUAGUUUCACGAGUUCAUUGUUUUAGCCUCAAACAAUAACUAGAAAUAUGCAACAAAGGUAAUGUUAUGUUUGAGAAAAACCAACAUUACGUACGAGGUGGUGUGUGCCAUAAGCUUCUGCUACAAAAAGACUUGAGAGAAAGAAAGGAAACUGCCUAUGCCCCAUUUUCCAAACUGGAGACAGUAAAAUCCCUCCCAAAUGUCCUUAACUUCCUUCUGCUGCAUAAGACAGACCUGUUUUCAUUAUGAUCCUCACAUGCUGAAGUGAGGAGAAAAAUUCUUAGUUAAGACAAAUAGCAGCUUAUGUUUCACUGUCCUGAGGCAAUACAGCAUAAAACUCUGAGGGGUAGAAAGUUUGUUUGCUUGCUUAUACUGGUUUAUGUCUCCAAUAUAACAUUUUUUGUCUAAGAACUGAGAGAGGGUCUUCAGAAUCCCCAUCAUACAGAUGAUUUCUAAUCAGCUAUUUUCAUUUGCUUUGCACUUGAGAGCUACAUAUCAGAACUAUUGUUCUUCUAGCUGAGCAGUGCCCCCAACAAGCUCUUAGCUCUACUUCUUCAAAUCAGCCCGUGUUUCCUAUUAGGAGACUCAACACCUGUCCACCUCCAACACACAAGCUACUGCUGCUGACUCCUGAGUAUUUUCAACCUAGGAAGGUACCAAGAAUCGAGAUAUGGUCUUCCAUGUGCUGUGUAAAACAUAACUAUUACACCACCAGCUAAACCCAUUACAUUUCUAAAAUUAGGUAAUAUAUGAAUUUUUAUGGUAUUUAUUGCUAUCAUGAACGGGGUCUCUCAAUUACAGUCCAAGAGAUUAAAACCAAUAAUACAUCAAAACAAA